UACGAGGGGUGCAAGCGUUAUUCGGAUUUAUUGGGCGUAAAGGGUGCGUAGGUGGUAUGUUAAGUCUGUUGUUAAAUUUUCCGGCCUAACCGGAAGCAUGCAGUGGAAACUAGCGUACUUGAGGAUGGAAGAGGGAAGUGGAAUUCUCGGAGUAGCGGUAAAAUGCGUGGAUCUCGAGAGGAACACCGAUGGCGAAGGCAGCUUCCUGGUCCAUAUCUGACACUGAGGCACGAAAGCGUGGGGAGCAAACAGG
rnacentral:rRNA from 1 species